CUGCUGCCUUCCGUAGGAGUUUGGGCCGUGUCUCAGUCCCAAUGUGGCCGUCCACCCUCUCAGGCCGGCUACUGAUCGUCGCCUUGGUGGGCCGUUACCCCGCCAACAAGCUAAUCAGACGCGGGUCCAUCUUACACCACUAAUGUUUUUCACUCUGUCCCAUGCGGGACUGUGCGCUUAUGCGGUAUUAGCACCUAUUUCCUAAGUGUUAUCCCCCUGUGUAAGGCAGGUUACCCACGCGUUACUCACCCGUCCGCCACUAAG
rnacentral:rRNA from 1 species